AAGAUGCGAAAGGGGCAAGCCGAUACAGAGCCCGCGGCUCGACGGCUCAUCGCCAGCUUGCUCGCCAGCAUCUCUCUUGAGCGGCUCACCUGCCAUAUUGCGAUCGUGAGAGUUUGAGGAUGAUACCCCGAUCUUCGGGACGACGCCGGAGGUCGAGACCUUCGUGCGGUCAAUGCUGAUCGAGUUGCCCGCCUAUCCUUGGCGAGCAGUUCAAUUCNCCUCCCAACGCAUUCUCCGACAGAGAACGCGCCAAGUGCGCGCAAGCACCGAGGUCGAACGUCAACAUUACUGGUUGCGAGGUAUCAGUUUCGGUCGUCGGC
rnacentral:misc_RNA from 1 species